GGGUUGUGAGGUUAAGCGACUAAGCGUACACGGUGGAUGCCUUGGCAGUCAGAGGCGAUGAAGGACGUGCUAAUCUGCGAUAAGCGUCGGUAAGGUGAUAUGAACCGUUAUAACCGGCGAUUUCCGAAUGGGGAAACCCAGUGUGAUUCGUCACACUAUCAUUAACUGAAUCCAUAGGUUAAUGAGGCGAACCGGGGGAACUGAAACAUCUAAGUACCCCGAGGAAAAGAAAUCAACCGAGAUUCCCCCAGUAGCGGCGAGCGAACGGGGAGGAGCCCAGAGCCUGAAUCAGUGUGUGUGUUAGUGGAAGCGUCUGGAAAGGCGCGCGAUACAGGGUGACAGCCCCGUACACAAAAAUGCACAUGCUGUGAGCUCGAUGAGUAGGGCGGGACACGUGGUAUCCUGUCUGAAUAUGGGGGGACCAUCCUCCAAGGCUAAAUACUCCUGACUGACCGAUAGUGAACCAGUACCGUGAGGGAAAGGCGAAAAGAACCCCGGCGAGGGGAGUGAAAAAGAACCUGAAACCGUGUACGUACAAGCAGUGGGAGCACAGAGCAAUCUGUGUGACUGCGUACCUUUUGUAUAAUGGGUCAGCGACUUAUAUUCUGUAGCAAGGUUAACCGAAUAGGGGAGCCGAAGGGAAACCGAGUCUUAACUGGGCGUUAAGUUGCAGGGUAUAGACCCGAAACCCGGUGAUCUAGCCAUGGGCAGGUUGAAGGUUGGGUAACACUAACUGGAGGACCGAACCGACUAAUGUUGAAAAAUUAGCGGAUGACUUGUGGCUGGGGGUGAAAGGCCAAUCAAACCGGGAGAUAGCUGGUUCUCCCCGAAAGCUAUUUAGGUAGCGCCUCGUGAAUUCAUCUCCGGGGGUAGAGCACUGUUUCGGCAAGGGGGUCAUCCCGACUUACCAACCCGAUGCAAACUGCGAAUACCGGAGAAUGUUAUCACGGGAGACACACGGCGGGUGCUAACGUCCGUCGUGAAGAGGGAAACAACCCAGACCGCCAGCUAAGGUCCCAAAGUCAUGGUUAAGUGGGAAACGAUGUGGGAAGGCCCAGACAGCCAGGAUGUUGGCUUAGAAGCAGCCAUCAUUUAAAGAAAGCGUAAUAGCUCACUGGUCGAGUCGGCCUGCGCGGAAGAUGUAACGGGGCUAAACCAUGCACCGAAGCUGCGGCAGCGACACUGUGUGUUGUUGGGUAGGGGAGCGUUCUGUAAGCCUGUGAAGGUGUGCUGUGAGGCAUGCUGGAGGUAUCAGAAGUG
rnacentral:rRNA from 1 species